rnacentral:rRNA from 1 species
GACGAACGCUGGCGGCGCGCCUAACACAUGCAAGUCGAACGAGCGAGAGAGAGCUUGCUUUCUCGAGCGAGUGGCGAACGGGUGAGUAACGCGUGAGGAACCUGCCUCAAAGAGGGGGACAACAGUUGGAAACGACUGCUAAUACCGCAUAAGCCCACGACCCGGCAUCGGGUUGAGGGAAAAGGAGCAAUCCGCUUUGAGAUGGACCCGCGUCUGAUUAGCUAGUUGGUAAGGUAACGGCUUACCAAGGCGACGAUCAGUAGCCGACCUGAGAGGGUGACCGGCCACAUUGGGACUGAGACACGGCCCAA